rnacentral:rRNA from 1 species
AUAGAUACCCGGUAGUCCACGCCGUAAACGAUAGUGCUAAGUGUUAGAGGGUUUCCGCCCUUUAGUGCUGCAGCUAACGCAUUAAGCACUCCGCCUGGGGAGUACGGCCGCAAGGCUGAAACUCAAAGGAAUUGACGGGGGGCCCGCACAAGCGGUGGAGCAUGUGGUUUAAUUCGAAGCAACGCGAAGAACCUUACCAGGUCUUGACAUCCUCUGCCAACCCUAGAGAUAAGGCGUUCCCCUUCGGGGGACAGAGUGACAGGUGGUGCAUGGUUGUCGUCAGCUCGUGUCGUGAGAUGUUGGGUUAAGUCCCGCAACGAGCGCAACCCUUGAUCUUAGUUGCCAGCAUUCAGUUGGGCACUCUAAGGUGACUGCCGGUGACAAACCGGAGGAAGGUGGGGAUGACGUCAAAUCAUCAUGCCCCUUAUGACCUGGGCUACACACGUGCUACAAUGGAUGGUACAAAGAGCUGCGAACCCGCGAGGGUAAGCGAAUCUCAUAAAGCCAUUCUCAGUUCGGAUUGUAGGCUG